GAUGAACGCUGGCGGCGUGCCUAAUACAUGCAAGUCGAGCGAACAGACGAGGAGCUUGCUCCUCUGACGUUAGCGGCGGACGGGUGAGUAACACGUGGAUAACCUACCUAUAAGACUGGGAUAACUUCGGGAAACCGGAGCUAAUACCGGAUAAUAUAUUGAACCGCAUGGUUCAAUAGUGAAAGACGGUUUUGCUGUCACUUAUAGAUGGAUCCGCGCCGCAUUAGCUAGUUGGUAAGGUAACGGCUUACCAAGGCAACGAUGCGUGGCCGACCUGAGAGAGGGAUCGGCCACACGGGAACGGAGACACGGUCCAGACUCCUACGGGAGGCAGCAGUAGGGAAUCGUCCGCAAUGGGCGAAAGCCUUACGGAGCAACGCCGCGUGAGUGAUGAAGGUCUUCGGAUCGUAAAACUCUGUUAUGAGGGAAGAACAAAUGUGUAAGUAACUAUGCACGUCUUGACGGUACCUAAUCAGAAAGCCACGGCUAACUACGUG
rnacentral:rRNA from 1 species